AGCAAACGCUGGCGGCGUGCCUAAUACAUGCAAGUCGAACGAGGUAGCAAUACCUAGUGGCGCACGGGUGAGUAAUACGUGGGUAAUCUGCCCUCGAGUGGGGAAUAACUAGUCGAAAGAUUAGCUAAUACCGCAUAAGACCACAGGAACUUUGGUUCUAGAGGUCAAAGCAGCAAUGCGCUUGAGGAUGAGCCCGCGUCAGAUUAGCUAGUUGGUAGGGUAAUGGCCUACCAAGGCAAUGAUCUGUAGCUGGUCUGAGAGGAUGAUCAGCCACACUGGAACUGAGACACGGUCCAGACUCCUACGGGAGGCAGCAGUAGGGAAUAUUGCGCAAUGGGGGAAACCCUGACGCAGCGACGCCGCGUGAGUGAUGAAGGCCUUCGGGUCGUAAAGCUCUGUUGCAGGGGAAUAACACAAUGAAGGUACCCUGUGAGGAAGGAUCGGCUAACUUCGUGCCAGCCGCCGCCGUAA
rnacentral:rRNA from 1 species